GUUCAGGCGCCCCGCUCACGUGACCGCGGCGCAUGUCAGCUGAUGCGGGAGGGUUUGAAGCGGCGCCGGGAGGGAGCGAGGCUGCAGUGACCGCGGCGCGCGCUGGGACCCACCCGCGUCUCGCGCUCACCCUGCGGCCAUGGCCACCCCGGCGGGCCGGCGCGCCUCAGAGACUGAGCGGCUGCUGACCCCCAAUCCUGGGUAUGGGACCCAGGUGGGGACCUCACCAGCCCCAACAACCCCCACAGAAGAGGAAGACCUCCGCCGCCGCCUCAAGUACUUCUUUAUGAGCCCAUGUGACAAGUUCCGGGCCAAAGGCCGCAAGCCCUGCAAGCUGAUGCUGCAGGUGGUCAAGAUCUUGGUGGUCACUGUGCAGCUCAUUCUCUUUGGGCUCAGCAACCAGCUGGUGGUGACAUUCCGGGAAGAGAACACCAUUGCCUUCCGACAUCUCUUCCUGCUGGGUUACUCUGAUGGGUCUGAUGACACCUUUGCAGCCUACACACAGGAGCAGCUCUACCAAGCCAUCUUCUAUGCUGUGGACCAGUACCUGAUACUACCUGAGAUAUCCCUGGGCCGGUAUGCCUAUGUCCGUGGUGGGGGUGGGCCUUGGGCCAAUGGAUCAGCUUUGGCUCUCUGCCAGCGGUACUACCACCGUGGCCAUGUGGACCCAGCCAAUGAUACCUUUGACAUUGAUCCAAGGGUAGUCACUGACUGUAUCCAGGUGGAUCCUCCUGACAGACCCCCUGACAUCCCCAGUGAGGACUUGGACUUCUUGGAUGGCAGCGCCAGUUACAAGAACCUCACACUGAAAUUCCACAAGCUGAUCAACGUCACCAUCCACUUCCAGCUGAAGACAAUUAACCUGCAGAGCCUCAUCAACAAUGAGAUCCCUGAUUGUUACACCUUCAGUAUCCUGAUCACAUUUGACAAUAAAGCGCACAGUGGGCGAAUCCCCAUCCGCCUGGAGACCAAGACCCACAUCCAGGAGUGCAAACACCCCAGUGUCUCCAGACAUGGAGACAACAGCUUCCGGCUUCUGUUUGAUGUGGUGGUUAUCCUCACCUGCUCCCUGUCCUUCCUGCUGUGCGCCCGCUCACUGCUCCGUGGCUUCCUGCUGCAGAACGAGUUUGUUGUAUUCAUGUGGCGGCGGCGGGGUCGGGAAAUCAGCCUCUGGGAACGGCUGGAGUUUGUCAAUGGCUGGUACAUCCUGCUGGUCACCAGUGACGUGCUCACCAUCUCGGGGACUGUCAUGAAGAUUGGCAUUGAGGCAAAGAACCUAGCCAGCUAUGAUGUCUGCAGUAUUCUCUUGGGUACCUCCACUCUGCUAGUCUGGGUCGGUGUCAUUCGCUACCUGACAUUUUUCCACAAGUACAACAUCUUGAUUGCCACGUUGCGAGUGGCACUGCCCAGUGUCAUGCGUUUCUGCUGCUGUGUGGCUGUCAUCUACCUGGGCUAUUGCUUCUGUGGCUGGAUCGUUCUAGGGCCCUACCAUGUGAAGUUCCGCUCGCUGUCCAUGGUUUCUGAGUGUCUGUUCUCACUCAUCAACGGAGACGACAUGUUUGUGACGUUCGCGGCCAUGCAGGCCCAGCAGGGUCACAGCAGCCUGGUGUGGCUCUUCUCCCAGCUGUACCUCUACUCCUUCAUCAGCCUCUUCAUCUACAUGGUGCUGAGCCUCUUCAUUGCACUCAUCACCGGCGCCUAUGACACCAUCAAGGUCAGCCAUCUCUACCAUCUCCUCCCUGGGAGUCCUGGCUUCCCCUUCCCCUCCCCUGAACAUUUUCAGCCCUGAGUUCCAAGAGUCGCCUGGCUUCACAAAGUUGUCCUGGCUUCACAAUAGUUGGAACAGGUAAGACUCAGAAGCUAUAUAAAGUCCAAAGGAAGAGUGGCCAGGAACUGGGUUUGGAGUAGUUGGGGUUGUUUGAGUCAUCCUGGAAGAGUAGCCUAGGAUGUACCAUAACUGGAUUCAGUUGGAUGGGCAGGAAGGGACGGGCUCCCAUGGUCCCUCAUGGGUACAAAAAUGUGCCAGUAUUUUCUCUCUCUCUCUCUCUCUCUCUCUCUCUGUGUGUGUGUGUGUGUGUGUGUAUGUGCCCCCCCUCUGUGUGUGUGUGUGUGUGUGUGUGUGCGUGUGCAUGCAUGUUACAUGUAUCAGAGGACAAACCACAGGAAUUGGUUCUCCUCCUUCACUGUAUGGAUCAUAGAUCUGAACACAAGUUACCAGCUUUGCAGCAAGUGCCUUUACCUGCCACACCAUCUCACUGGCUUCCUCCCUCUCUCAUACCAUCUUUUAUUAAAAACCAUUUACUUAUUUAGGGGUGAGAGGAGGUUGUGCACAGCACAGUGUGUUUGGAAAUUAGAGACGACUUGUGGAAAUCAGCUCUCUUCGUCCACCAUGUGGAGUCAUCAGCACCCAGGAGGUACUGGCACAGAGAAGAGUGAGCUCCAGGCCUACAUCGAGCAGUGCCAGGAUAGCCCCACAUCUGGCAAGUUCCGUCGUGGCAGUGGCUCAGCUUGUAGCCUUUUCUGCUGCUGUGGAAGGGACUCCCCGGAGGACCAUUCGCUGCUGGUGAACUGAUCCAAGAUGAUUGCCACUAGACUUUAUCCCCAUGUACUGCUGGGACCCCAGCUUAUUUAUUUUUAGAAUUUGCUUUAAAAGAUCUGCGUCUGACAGGCCUUGUGAGGGCUUGGGCUGAUCGAAUCGGACACAGGGGAAAGGGAGGGCAUGUAGGGCGGCUGUUAAAUAAAAGGGAAUGUAAA